GAUGAACGCUGGCGGCGUGCCUAAUACAUGCAAGUCGAGCGAAUGGAUUAAGAGCCUGCUCUUAUGAAGUUAGCGGCGGACGGGUGAGUAACACGUGGGUAACCUGCCCAUAAGACUGGGAUAACUCCGGGAAACCGGGGCUAAUACCGGAUAACAUUUUGAACCGCAUGGUUCGAAAUUGAAAGGCGGCUUUGGCUGUCACUUAUGGAUGGACCCGCGUCGCAUUAGCUAGUUGGUGAGGUAACGGCGCACCAAGGCAACGAUGCGUAGCCGACCUGAGAGGGUGAGCGGCCACACUGGGACUGAGACACGGCCCAGACUCCUACGGGAGGCAGCAGUAGGGAAUCUUCCGCAGUGGACGAAAGUCUGACGGAGCAACGCCGCGUGAGUGAUGAAGGCUUUCGGGUCGUAAAACUCUGUUGUUAGGGAAGAACAAGUGCUAGUUGAAUAAGCUGGCACCUUGACGGUACCUAACCAGAAAGCCACGGCUAACUACGUGCCAGCAGCCGCGGUAA
rnacentral:rRNA from 1 species